CCGCGGUAAUACAGAGGGUGCAAGCGUUAAUCGGAAUUACUGGGCGUAAAGCGAGCGUAGGUGGCUUGAUAAGUCAGAUGUGAAAUCCCCGGGCUUAACCUGGGAACUGCAUCUGAUACUGUUGAGCUAGAGUAGGUGAGAGGGAAGUAGAAUUUCAGGUGUAGCGGUGAAAUGCGUAGAGAUCUGAAGGAAUACCGAUGGCGAAGGCAGCUUCCUGGCAUCAUACUGACACUGAGGCUCGAAAGCGUGGGUAGCAAACAGGAUUAGAUACCCUGGUAGUCCACGCCGUAAACGAUGUCUACUAGUCGUUGGGUCCCUUGAGGACUUAGUGACGCAGCUAACGCAAUAAGUAGACCGCCUGGGGAGUACGGCCGCAAG
rnacentral:rRNA from 1 species